rnacentral:rRNA from 1 species
GAUGAACGCUGGCGGCGUGCCUAAUACAUGCAAGUCGAGCGCGAGAGUGAGGAGCUUGCUCCUCAUGAUCGAGCGGCGGACGGGUGAGUAACACGUAGGCAACCUACCCUUGAGAUUGGGAUAACUACCGGAAACGGUAGCUAAUACCGGAUACGACUUUUCCACAUAAGUGGAAUGGUUAAAAGGCGGAUUUAUCUGCCGCUCAUGGAUGGGCCUGCGGUGCCUUAGCUAGUUGGUGAGGUAGUGGCUCACCAAGGCGACGAUGCAUAGCCGCCCUGAGAGGGUGAUCGGCCACACUGGGACUGAGACACGGCCCAGACUACUACGGGAGGCAGCAGUAGGGAAUCUUCCGCAAUGGACGCAAGUCUGACGGAGCAACGCCGCGUGAGUGAUGAAGGGUUUCGGCUCGUAAAACUCUGUUGUUAAGGAAGAACACUUGAGGUAGUAACUGGCCUUGAGAUGACGGUACUUAACCAGAAAGCCACGGCUAACUACGUGCCAGCAGCCGCCGUAA